rnacentral:rRNA from 1 species
CCUACGGGGGGCAGCAGUGGGGAAUAUUGCACAAUGGGCGCAAGCCUGAUGCAGCCAUGCCGCGUGUAUGGAGAAGGCCUUCGGGUUGUAAAGUACUUUCAGCGGGGAGGAAGGCGAUAAGGUUAAUAACCUUGUCGAUUGACGUUACCCGCAGAAGAAGCACCGGCUAACUCCGUGCCAGCAGCCGCGGUAACACGGUGGGUGCAAGCGUUAAUCGGAAUUACUGGGCGUAAAGCGCACGCAGGCGGUCUGUCAAGUCGGAUGUGAAAUCCCCGGGCUCAACCUGGGAACUGCAUUCGAAACUGGCAGGCUAGAGUCUUGUAGAGGGGGGUAGAAUUCCAGGUGUAGCGGUGAAAUGCGUAGAGAUCUGGAGGAAUACCGGUGGCGAAGGCGGCCCCCUGGACAAAGACUGACGCUCAGGUGCGAAAGCGUGGGGAGCAAACAGGAUUAGAUACCCUCGUAGUC